rnacentral:tRNA from 1 species
GGGAAUGUGGCUUAGUGGUAGAGUGCUUGCCUAGCAUGCAUGAAGUCCUGGGUUCUAUUCCUCAUUACCA